rnacentral:rRNA from 1 species
GUGGGGAAUUUUGGACAAUGGGCGCAAGCCUGAUCCAGCAAUGCCGCGUGCAGGAAGAAGGCCUUCGGGUUGUAAACUGCUUUUGUACGGAACGAAACGGUCCGGGUUAAUACCCUGGGCUAAUGACGGUACCGUAAGAAUAAGCACCGGCUAACUACGUGCCAGCAGCCGCGGUAAUACGUAGGGUGCAAGCGUUAAUCGGAAUUACUGGGCGUAAAGCGUGAGCAGGCGGUUUUGUAAGACAGGCGUGAAAUCCCCGGGCUCAACCUGGGAAUUGCGCUUGUGACUGCAAGGCUGGAGUGCGGCAGAGGGGGAUGGAAUUCCGCGUGUAGCAGUGAAAUGCGUAGAUAUGCGGAGGAACACCGAUGGCGAAGGCAAUCCCCUGGGCCUGCACUGACGCUCAUGCACGAAAGCGUGGGGAGCAAACAGGAUUAGAAACUCCUGUAGUCC